UACGUAGGGAGCAAGCGUUGUUCGGAUUUACUGGGCGUAAAGGGCGCGUAGGCGGCAAUUCAAGUCAUCUGUGAAAUCUCCGGGCUUAACUCGGAACGGUCAGAUGAUACUGUUUUGCUAGAGUGCAGAAGGGGCAAUCGGAAUUCUUGGUGUAGCGGUGAAAUGCGUAGAUAUCAAGAGGAACACCUGAGGUGAAGACGGGUUGCUGGGCUGACACUGACGUGAGGCGCGAAAGCCAGGGGAGCAAACGGG
rnacentral:rRNA from 1 species